rnacentral:misc_RNA from 1 species
UCCUCCGCUUAUUGAUAUGCUUAAGUUCAGCGGGUAUUCCUACCUGAUCCGAGGUCAACACUUAGGUAAAAGUAUAACAAGACCGUCGCCCAUCAGAGUCGUCCCAGGCACAUGCUUAACAAAAAGCUCCUCGUACCCGGUUCCCUCUGGGGCGCCGUCACUAUCUUUGAGACCAGUUGAUAGGCAAAGCUAUAACUAAGUCCAACACCAAGCCGGGGCUUGAGGGGUGAUAAUGACGCUCGAACAGGCAUGCCCUUCGGAAUAACCAAGGGGCGCAAUGUGCGUUCAAAGAUUCGAUGA